ACACCGGAGGUGGGGGAAGAGGCUGCGUACCGCGUGGUGCGUGGAGCCGAGGAAAGCACGGACUUCCAGCACCCGGGAAGGCAACAAGUCUCACACAGCAAUUCUGUCGUCUUGCUUGCUAACCCUGGGCCCCCAGGGGCAGAAAGGAGUUCUAGGCUGCUGCUCAGCACCACUGGUAGGAUUUGCAGUCCUCAUCCAUGUAUGAAGACAGAGGAGCAGAGGAGGGACCACCAGACUGUCAUCUGAAAGUGUUCCCCAGCACAGCAAAGAUAGUCUGUGUUUGCAUUCACCCUAGAGUACCGUAGCAGCUAAAGACAGACACAACAUGUAUCUGGAAUAAAAGGUGUUUCACAGUGCCUUUCAACUUUAAAA